UACGUAGGGUGCGAGCGUUGUCCGGAAUUAUUGGGCGUAAAGAGCUCGUAGGCGGCCUGUCGCGUCGGGAUGUGAAAGCCCCGGGGCUUAACCCCGGGUCUGCAUUCGAUACGGGCAGGCUAGAGUGUGGUAGGGGAGAUCGGAAUUCUGGUGUAGCGGUGAAAUGCGCAGAUAUCAGGAGGAACACCGGUGGCGAAGGCGGAUCUCUGGGCCAUUACUGACGCUGAGGAGCGAAAGCGUGGGGAGCGAACAGG
rnacentral:rRNA from 1 species